UGCAAGUCGAACGAGAGCGACCGGUGCUUGCACUGGUCAAUCUAGUGGCGAACGGGUGAGUAACACGUGGGUAACCUGCCCAUCAGAGGGGGAUAACAUUCGGAAACGGAUGCUAAAACCGCAUAGGUCCUUUAACCGCAUGGUUGAAGGAGGAAAAGAGGCGCAAGCUUCUGCUGAUGGAUGGACCCGCGGUGCAUUAGCUAGUUGGUGAGGUAACGGCUCACCAAGGCCGUGAUGCAUAGCCGACCUGAGAGGGUGAUCGGCCACAUUGGGACUGAGACACGGCCCAAACUCCUACGGGAGGCAGCAGUAGGGAAUCUUCCGCAAUGGACGCAAGUCUGACGGAGCAACGCCGCGUGAGUGAAGAAGGUUUUCGGAUCGUAAAACUCUGUUGUUAGAGAAGAACAAGUGCUAGAGUAACUGUUAGCGCCUUGACGGUAUCUAACCAGAAAGCCACGGCUAACUACGUGCCAGCAGCCGCGGUAAUACGUAGGUGGCAAGCGUUGUCCGGAUUUAUUGGGCGUAAAGCGAGCGCAGGCGGUUCCUUAAGUCUGAUGUGAAAGCCCCCGGCUCAACCGGGGAGGGUCGUUGGAAACUGGGGAACUUGAGUGCAGAAGAGGAGAGUGGAAUUCCAUGUGUAGCGGUGAAAUGCGUAGAUAUAUGGAGGAACACCAGUGGCGAAGGCGACUCUCUGGUCUGUAACUGACGCUGAGGCUCGAAAGCGGUGGGUAGCAAACAGGAUUAGAUACCCUGGUAGUCCACGCCGUAAACGAUGAGUGCUAAGUGUUGGAGGGUUUCCGCCCUUCAGUGCUGCAGU
rnacentral:rRNA from 1 species